rnacentral:tRNA from 1 species
GCGCUCGGUGCGCAGGGUUUCGAUGUAGCGCAGCUGGCGCUCGCGCAGGGCGUCGGGCUUCGGCGCGGUGCCGGGCGCGUCCUC